UACGUAGGGGGCAAGCGUUGUCCGGAAUUACUGGGCGUAAGGCGCACGCAGGCGGAUCGAUAAGUCAGGGGUGAAAUCCCGGGGCUCAACCUCGGAAUUGCCUUUGAUACUGUCGAUCUCGAGUCCGGGAGAGGUGAGUGGAAUUCCUAGUGUAGAGGUGAAAUUCGUAGAUAUUAGGAAGAACACCAGUGGCGAAGGCGGCUCACUGGCCCGGUACUGACGCUCAGGUGCGAAAGCGUGGGGAGCAAACAGG
rnacentral:rRNA from 1 species